rnacentral:rRNA from 1 species
UACGUAGGGUGCGAGCGUUAAUCGGAAUUACUGGGCGUAAAGCGUGCGCAGGCGGCUUGCUAAGACAGGUGUGAAAGCCCCGAGCUUAACUUGGGAAUGGCGCUUGUGACUGGCAGGCUGGAGUGUGGCAGAGGGAGGUGGAAUUCCACGUGUAGCAGUGAAAUGCGUAGAGAUGUGGAGGAACACCGAUGGCGAAGGCAGCCUCCUGGGCCAACACUGACGCUCAUGCACGAAAGCGUGGGGGAGCAAACAGG